GUCCACGCCGUAAACGUUGGGUGCUCGUCGUAGCGGGUAUUGACCCCUGCUGUGACCAAGCUAACGCGAGAAGCACCCCGCCUGGGAAGUACGGUCGCAAGACUAAAACUCAAAGAAAUUGACGGGGCCCGCACAAGCGGUGGAGCAUGUGGUUUAAUUCGAAGCAACGCGCAGAACCUUACCUGGACUUGACAUCUCGGGAAUCUCCCUGAAAGGGGAGAGUGCCUUCGGGAACCCGAUGACAGGUGCUGCAUGGCUGUCGU
rnacentral:rRNA from 1 species